CCGAGUUUACAACUCCCAAACCCCUGUGAACAUACCACUUGUUGCCUCGGCGGAUCAGCCCGCUCCCGGUAAAACGGGACGGCCCGCAGAGGACCCCUAAACUCUGUUUCUAUAUGUAACUUCUGAGUAAAACCAUAAAUAAUCA
rnacentral:misc_RNA from 1 species